AAUCGCAUAAAUACAUCGUUGGAUGCUUACACGAACCAAUCAAUGGCGAUAAUUAAUGAAACAUCUUCUACUGGAACUCCCACGGAAUUUAAUACCAUUAUUAACAUUACAUAACCACCACUAGAAAGGUUGUUUAUCUUUAUACAAACCAGAUUAUUAUGAUCUUGAACAAUGAAAAUUGUAAUCCAUGCAAUUGAAUUAUAAAAAUUGCGCCAAUGCUUUCAUAUAAUGCUAUACCAUCCAUAUUUAUGGUGGCUCCAAUUGGUACAAUAAACUUAGAUAUUUUAGAAGGUAUUCCAAUGCGUUCCAAGCAUGAUAUUGUUACUGGAACUGUAGCUGUGCUAAAAUAUAAAUAUAAAGUAUAUAAUAUAAUAAUUUUAUUAACAAGCAAUAAAUUAACAAUAUAUUGUCUUAGUUUAAAUACCUUGAUGAUGUACCAAAUGCUGUAGCAAAAGCUGGUCCAAGUUUAAAUAUGAUGUUGUAUGGAGAUUGACGGGUACAUAUAAAAUACAAUAGAGGAAGUAAUAUUAAACCUUGUAUAAGCAAACCACUGAAGACAGUUAAAAUAUAAAUUCCAAGCCUUUUUAUUAAACUGUUAAAGUCUUCUACUUCAAGAAUUUUUGCAGAAAUAAGAAAUAGUACACUUAUUGGUACUAGCCUGUAUAAAAUGGAUAUGUUUGCAUGUAAUAAAAGUUAAUGAUUUCUUUUUUAUCGUA